rnacentral:antisense_RNA from 1 species
GUUAAUGGCGGCUGUGCGCGGGACAUCUUCGGAUGUGCCGGGUCUUCUAUCCCCGGUCGGCUAACCCUCGCACAGCUGCCACCCUU